GAUGAACGCUAGCGGCAGGCUUAAUACAUGCAAGUCGUGGGGCAGCAUGAAUGUAGCAAUACAUUUGAUGGCGACCGGCAAACGGGUGCGGAACACGUACACAACCUUCCUAUAAGUGGGGAAUAGCCCAGAGAAAUUUGGAUUAAUACCCCGUAACAUACCGAUGUGGCAUCACAUUGUUAUUAUAGCUUCGGCGCUUAUUGAUGGGUGUGCGGCUGAUUAGAUAGUUGGCGGGGUAACGGCCCACCAAGUCUACGAUCAGUAGCUGAUGUGAGAGACUAGUCAGCCAAACGGGCGCUGGGACACGGGACCGGCUCCUACGGGAGGCAGCAGUAAGGAAUAUUGGUCAAUGGACGCAAGUCUGAACCAGCCAUGCCGCGUGAAGGAUUAAGGUCCUCUGGAUUGUAAACUUCUUUUAUCUGGGACGAAAAAAGGCUUUUCUAAGGCACUUGACGGUACCAGAUGAAUAAGCACCGGCUAACUCCGUGCCAGCCGCCGCAGUAAGAC
rnacentral:rRNA from 1 species